GGGCCUGUAGCUCAGCUGGUUAGAGCGGCCGACUCAUAAUCGGCUGGUCGAUGGUUCGAGUCCAUCCAGGCCCACAA
rnacentral:tRNA from 1 species